rnacentral:sRNA from 1 species
ACAAAAGGGAGUUCGGUUAAUUCCGUUCACAUCCUGUGAACAAUACCGGAUAAUCGACAUCGUGUAGG